CCUACGGGGGGCAGCAGUCGGGAAUAUUGCGCAAUGGAGGAAACUCUGACGCAGUGACGCCGCGUAUAGGAAGAAGGUUUUCGGAUUGUAAACUAUUGUCGUUAGGGAAGAAAAAAAGACAGUACCUAAGGAGGAAGCUCCGGCUAACUACGUGCCAGCAGCCGCGGUAAUACGGAGGAUGCGAGCGUUAUCCGGAUUUAUUGGGUUUAAAGGGUGCGCAGGCGGUCUGUUAAGUCAGCGGUCAAAUCCCGGGGCUAAACCCCGGCCCGCCGUUGAAACUGGCAGUCUCGAGUUGGAGAGAAGUAUGCGGAAUGCGCGGUGUAGCGGUGAAAUGCAUAGAUAUCGCGCAGAACUCCGAUUGCGAAGGCAGCAUGCCGGCUCCACACUGACGCUGAGGCACGAAAGCGUGGGUAUCGAACAGGAUUAGAUACCCCAGUAGUC
rnacentral:rRNA from 1 species